GUCAGUGUGCCCGAGUGGUUAAGGGGAGUGAUUAGAAAUCACUUGGCUUCGGCCGCAUAGGUUCGAGUCCUAUCGCUAUCCAGGCC
rnacentral:tRNA from 1 species